UCGCACAAGGUAAGGGUAAAAGGGUGCGGUAAGAGCGCACCGCUUGGUUUGGUGACAAAACAAGGCUUAGGUAAACCCCAUCCGCAGCAAGACCAAAUAGGAAGUCAGAUGGUGCUGCUCGCACUUGGCUUCGGGUAGGUUGCUUGAGGCUGCUGGCAACAGUAGUCCAGAUGAAUGAUCAUCGCUUUUGUUUGGCAACAAACAGAAGUACAGAACCCGGCUUACAGAGCCACUUCGCAA
rnacentral:RNase_P_RNA from 1 species